rnacentral:rRNA from 1 species
GACGAACGCUGGCGGCGUGCUUAACACAUGCAAGUCGAACGGAAAGGCCCUGCUUUUGUGGGGUGCUCGAGUGGCGAACGGGUGAGUAACACGUGAGUAACCUGCCCUCGACUUUGGGAUAACUUCAGAAAACUGGGGCUAAUACCGGAUAGGAGCUCCUGCUGCAUGGUGGGGGUUGGAAAGUUUCGGCGGUUGGGGAUGGACUCGCGGCUUAUCAGCUUGUUGGUGGGGUAGUGGCUUACCAAGGCUUUGACGGGUAGCCGGCCUGAGAGGGUGACCGGCCACAUUGGGACUGAGAUACGGCCCAGACUCCUACGGGAGGCAGCAGUGGGGAAUAUUGCACAAUGGGCGGAAGCCUGAUGCAGCAACGCCGCGUGCGGGAUGACGGCCUUCGGGUUGUAAACCGCUUUCGCCUGUGACGAAGCGUGAGUGACGGUAAUGGGUAAAGAAGCACCGGCUAACUACGUG